CAACUACUCCCUCCGUUCCAAAUUACUCGUCGCAGAAAUGAAUGUAUCUAAAACUAAAAUACAUCUAGAUACAUCCAUACCUACGACAAGUAAUUCGGAACGGAGGGAGUACAUG
rnacentral:pre_miRNA from 1 species